AAGGGCACCCAUCCCUGUCAAAAAAAAAAACUCCCCCUCUCUCGCGUGAGCCCCCGCUCUCUCUCUACUGUGACUCCUUGCCGCUACAGCCACAUACGCCGGCCGCCUCGCCUCGCUCCGGCGACUCCUUCCACCGCCAGGCACGCUCCUGAGCUUGCCUCCCUCCGCUACUUCCUCCCCUUCGGCUGGAUUCGACGCUCGUGCCCACCGGCAACCCUCCUCCGCGACUAGGGUUUCGGACGCGGCGGUCGGGCGGAGCGUCAUGCGCCGCCGCCUUGCCCUGGCCGGCGCCCCUCCUCCCACCUGCACUGCCGCCGCCGCCAUCCCCAACGUGGAGGAGGAGGAGCGCUGUUGCGGGGGUUUUCUACCCUGGUUGCGAAGCAAGGCGGGAGCCGGCACCUCGUCGGCGCUGCGCAUCGGGACCUUGCCCUUGGGAAGGUCAUUGUUCCCUUCGCGGCCGAUACAGUAGUGGGACUGCAUAUUGCAAGUGCCUCAAAAUGCUUAUGCGCAGCAACUCAAAGUCUGUUUGUGGCUGUUUGGCGAUCUGGUUACCCUGGCGGACCUCAUUGUGUUCUAAGCGUCAACCUUGUGCACACAAGAACUUGAGGGUACCCUGCUCCAGCGUCCAGAGGAAUUGGGAUGGGCACUGUAUGUUAGACCCCUUCCAUGCAAGGAUCAGAUGCAUAACAUAGUAUGAACAUGCAGUAGAAAUGUUACGGAGGGACAUGCAUUUUCAUCUUCUAAUAUGCACUGCUGGCAUAUAAGUUCUGUUUGUUUCACACCCACAUAGUGACAUAAAAGCUUCCAUGGUGAAUUUUCUGAACCAUUAUUUGGGCCUUGGGCUUGGUAAAUUGACAAGCCAUUGUGAACCAGCCACCUACAUGUAGCCUGUAGGGAAGCCAUCAGAGGAAUUAGCGCCUCAAAAAAAUCAGAGGAACUAGCGGAGAAGGCUUCAGCGGUUGGUGCGUGGCUGCGUGCGGGCCUGCGGCAACCCUGACAACGAGGAUGCUAAUGCGAGGGCGCGAGGUACGAUUGCCGCCGGCGGACAGAGAUUGGCGUCCGGCGUUGGCGUCCUGCGUCGUCCUGUGUUCUGCAGGGAACAUGUCUGAUACGGUGAAUUGUGAUAACUUGCAGAUUUCAUUUGAAUCAGGGACUGAGGCAACCAAAUAAGUGGAAGAAAAAGUUAGACGUUGUGGCAGCCAGUGAGGGGUGAUCGACGCUGACUAGCGCAGCCGAUGGGCGCUGUGCUCUUCAACCACUUAGAGGCGGACUUCUCUGUGAAGCUGGUGGCCAUGUCGCAUAGAUGAUUGUCCAGGUGAUUUCGACGCCGGAGGUCGCCGAGGUGGAGGACCUCGACGCCACCGUCCAGGGGAGGGAGGAUUCGGGUCCACCGGCGUCUAAGCUCCGAGCCUUGGUAGAUACAUCUAGGGAAGUCGUCUGUUUAGGUUGGUGAUGGAACACCAGGGAAGGUACCCACCUUUCGAUGAUCAUUGUGUGUGUCUGAUGUUAAAUGGAAUCUUGAGAAUGUUAUGUGACGUUGGUUUUGUUUUGCACUGGGCGUAUUGCCAUUCAUGAAUACUA